CAGUUAUGGGAUAACAUAUUCCCCCGCCUGAAGUUCUCAAAAUCAUGGACUAUCUUUUAAUCAUCUGCUCUCCAAAUCUACACACCUCCUCUCAUCAGCAACCUCUCUAUCUUGUGAAUGGCCAACUCAACUACCAUUUCUACACCGAAGAAACUCGUUCUAUUCCUCAACAUAUCCUUUCUUCUCUUGUGUCUCUCUCUCACAACUACUAAUUAUCUUCAUCCCAAUAACCGCAGCUCUUCCUUACCAAAUCAAUCCACCUUUCUUCAUGAAGUCAUAGUUGAUUAUGGCUGCAGUAAACUCCAUGAACACCCAGAUUCUGAAACCAAGUGUUUGUUUGUCAAAAACCAAAGAGGUUGCAGACCUGGUGGUUAUUUAAACUAUCUCCAAAUCUUCUAUUGCAAUUUAGGCCAGUUCCCAAUAAUAAUAGCCCAUGUUGCGGUUCUACUUUGGCUUCUCGUUUUGUUCUACCUAUUGGGGAACACAGCUGCCAAUUACUUCUGCUCCUCCUUAGAGAGCUUGUCCAAAAUCUUGAAGCUCUCUCCCACCAUUGCCGGAGUCACCCUUCUCUCGCUCGGAAACGGCGCUCCGGAUGUCUUUUCGAGCAUCGUUUCAUUCACGGGAUCAGGUGGUGAUGGUGAUGUCGGCCUAAACAGUGUGUUGGGGGGAGCCUUCUUUGUGUCCAGCAUUGUGGUAGGUCUUAUUAGCAUACUAAUUAGCUCUCGACAAGUUUCGGUAGACGAGUCGUGCUUCAUAAGAGACGUCAUAUUUUUCUUGUUCUCACUCUCCUCUCUUCUUGUCAUCAUAGUGAUAGGAAGAAUCAACUUGUGGGGUUCCAUUGCUUUUGUUGCUAUUUACUUUGUCUAUGUCGCUUCAGUCUCGGCCACACAUAUACAGAGCAAGGAAACUAGAAAAAGAGCCUCUAUUGAGGCAUGUCGACGAAGAAAAACUAGUUGUUUCUAAUCAAGAUGAUCAUCAUGCUGAUAAUGUCGAUGAUGAUCAAGAAGAGAGAAAAUAUUCGUGUUUUCGUUAUUUGGGGUAUCUGUUGGAGCUGCCUCUGUCGUUGCCUAGAAGAUUGACCAUACCAGUUGUGAGCGAGGAAAACUGGUCCAAGCCAUUUCUAGUUAUUUCAGCGACUCUUGCACCAGUUUCACUCGCAGCUCUUUUCAACACACAGAGUGAACAUGUGGGUUCGAGAACUAAAUUAGUGGCUUACAUAACAGCUGCUAUUAUUGGUUUGGUUUUUGGAACUCUUGCUUAUAUCAGCACGAAAAGGUCAGGGCCACCAAACAAUAGCAAGCACUUGUUCCCUUUGCUUGUGGGAGGGUUUGUGAUGAGCGUGGCCUGGACUUAUCUCACAGCUGAAGAAUUGGUGUGUUUGUUAGAAUCGUAUGGAAAAAUAUUGGGGAUUAAUCCUUCCAUUCUGGGACUUACUAUUCUGGCUUGGGGCAACUCUCUGGGAGACUUGAUAGCUAAUGUGGCCGUGGCGGCUAACGGUGGGGCUGACGGAGCUCAGAUUGCCAUCACGGGAUGCUACGCCGGGCCGAUGUUCAACACAGUGGUGGGAGUGGGGGUUUCGCUGGUUCUGUCAGCUUGGUCGGAGUACCCAUCCUCAUACGUUAUCGCAAUCGAUCAUUCUCUAUACGAGACACUGGCAUUUCUGAUGGGUGGGUUGCUGUGGGCGCUUGUCAUGUUGCCGAACAAGAACAUGAAGCUGGAUCGUUAUAUGGGGAGUGGCCUCAUCGCAAUCUACUUGUGUUUUCUCUCUCUCAAGCUAGCCUUGCUCCUGCUCUGA